GGUAUGUAAACAUAACACUAAGAGGAAAAUUAGGUUUACAUUCAUUCAUUCACUUCACAAAAUAUUUUGAGAGGUAGAGAGAGAAAGUAAAUCACAAGAGAAAAAGAGGAGAAGAAUAGAUAAAGGGUUAGAGAGGAGAAAAGCCUGAGGAGAAGAAGAGGCUGGAGACUCGAGGAGCUAAAGUGAAGCCAUAGCUAAGAUUUUGCAAGCUAGAGGUGACACUUUCGAAAAUGGCAAGAAAGAGCAUACAAGAACAAAAACACCAAUGGAGAUCCCACUCACACCAAUAAUAGGUUGCCAGAACUUUUUUUCUUGCGUGACAAUAAUAGCAUGCUAGAACUUAUCAAAGUUCAUUAGGCAAAUUAUAAUAUUACAUGCAUGCGAUACCUAAAAA